rnacentral:lncRNA from 1 species
GCUCAUGAACUCAGACAGGAUUUCGAAGGAAUUUCAGCUGGACGGGAAAAGGAAAGGAAGCAUGCUGGCAGAUUAUGUUUUUGUGACCAGUUCUUCACAACUGCAACAAAAAAUAAACAAGACUCAGAUAUGAUGGCUCAGAUUCCCUCCCAACCUGGGAAGACGCUAUUUGUUCUCUGUCAGCGACUUCACAGGUGGCCUUGGCUCCUAAAAUCCGGUCAUCCAAAGAUCAUGAUCAAAGAGAACCCUCUGCACAGAUUGCAAGGACCACCUGCCUAGAUGAGGCCUCAGUUGGCAUCCUCCCCCUCCCAUUUCCAAUGUCCAGCAUUUCACGUAAUUUUCUCCUCUUUGCUCUGCUACAAGCUCCAGGCAUCCGUUUGUGUUAUUAGAUUUACGUAUGCAGGUCAACAGCACACAUCGCCAACCCACCUCACAGCUGGGAGGGUUGUUGUGGAGUCUUUUCUCUACUUGAUGUUUUCAUUUUGGCUCAUGUCUUCCUCCUUCUCAAGGCAGUGGCAUAAAGGAUCAUUAAGUUUCAUUUAUGGGUCCACCAUGAAACGGCGUGUCAUCUAUAUCCUUGACCAACUUAUGAUAACUGUUGAACAGGACAAUAUUUCUUUCUUUAUGAGGAAGCCAAGCCAUCACCAGAAACAACAUAAAAAUCUCUCUCCAUUCUGGACAUUGACAGCAUAUGAAUCAACAUUGACUUGA